rnacentral:rRNA from 1 species
GAUGAACGCUGGCGGCGUGCUUAACACGUGCAAGUCGAACGAGAAUCAACGGAUUGAGGAUUCGUCCAAAUGAAGUUGAGGAAAGUGGCGGACGGGUGAGUAACGCGUGGGGAACCUGCCUCAUACAGGGGGAUAACAGUUAGAAAUGACUGCUAAUACCGCAUAAGCGCACAGUGCCGCAUGGCGCCGUGUGAAAACUCCGGUGGUAUGAGAUGGACCCGCGUCUGAUUAGCUGGUUGGUGGGGUAACGGCCCACCAAGGCGACGAUCAGUAGCCGACCUGAGAGGGUGAUCGGCCACAUUGGGACUGAGACACGGCCCAA